rnacentral:rRNA from 1 species
GCCCUAGUAACGGCGAGUGAAGCGGCAACAGCUCAAAUUUGAAAUCUGGCGUCUUUGGCGUCCGAGUUGUAAUUUGCAGAGGGCGCUUUGGCAUUGGCAGCGGUCCAAGUUCCUUGGAACAGGACGUCACAGAGGGUGAGAAUCCCGUACGUGGUCGCUAGCCUUUACCGUGUAAAGCCCCUUCGACGAGUCGAGUUGUUUGGGAAUGCAGCUCUAAAUGGGAGGUAAAUUUCUUCUAAAGCUAAAUACUGGCCAGAGACCGAUAGCGCACAAGUAGAGUGAUCGAAAGAUGAAAAGCACUUUGGAAAGAGAGUUAAAAAGCACGUGAAAUUGUUGAAAGGGAAGCGCUUGCAGCCAGACUUGCCUGUAGUUGCUCAUCCGGGUUUUUACCCGGUGCACUCUUCUACGGGCAGGCCAGCAUCAGUUUGGGCGGUUGGAUAAAGGUCUCUGUCAUGUACCUCCUCUCGGGGAGAACUUAUAGGGGAGACGACAUGCAACCAGCCCGGACUGAGGUCCGCGCAUCUGCUAGGAUGCUGGCGUAAUGGCUGUAAGCGGCCCGUCUUGAAACACGGACCAAGGAGUCUAACAUCUAUGCGAGUGUUUGGGUGUCAAGCCCGAGCGCGUAAUGAAAGUGAACGGAGGUGGGAACCUUUCGGGGUGCACCAUCGACCGAUCCUGAUGUCUUCGGAUGGAUUUGAGUAAGAGCAUAGCUGUUGGGACCCGAAAGAUGGUGAACUAUGCUUGAAUAGGGUGAAGCCAGAGGAAACUCUGGUGGAGGCUCGCAGCGGUUCUGACGUGCAAAUCGAUCGUCAAAUUUGGGCAUAGGGGCGAAAGACUAAUCGAACUAUCUAGUAGCUGGUUCCUGCCGA